GCAGGAGGGGCACUUGGCCCUGUCUGGGAGGCUUCUUUGAAAAGAGAGAAUGUUUGUGCUGAAUCUAAAAUAUGAGUAGGAGACCAGGUAGCCUUGUGAGGUGGACCAGGGAAAUAUUCCUGACAAAGUGAAUAGCAUGAGCGAACACAGGCAUGCUGACAUGCUAAGCUACAGCUGUGGCCUGGGCUUUUGGAAGUAGUUGUAAGCAUAGGAGAAUCUUGAGGUUUUGAGGUUCAGAGUAGAAGGCAGGGUCACAGGGCAGAACUCUCCCAAUGAGGGACUCCCAUCUCAGCCCUCCAGAUCCUUCUGUUCUCCCUAGAUUGUCUACAACCUGUUGUCUCUGCGCUUCAACUCACGGAUCCGUGUGAAGACCUACACAGAUGAGCUGACGCCCAUUGAGUCUGCUGUCUCUGUGUUCAAGGCAGCCAACUGGUAUGAAAGGGAGAUCUGGGACAUGUUUGGAGUCUUCUUUGCUAACCACCCUGAUCUAAGAAGGAUCCUGACAGAUUAUGGCUUCGAGGGACAUCCUUUCCGGAAAGACUUUCCUCUAUCUGGCUAUGUUGAGUUACGUUAUGAUGAUGAAGUGAAGCGGGUGGUGGCAGAGCCGGUGGAGUUGGCCCAAGAGUUCCGCAAAUUUGACCUGAACAGCCCCUGGGAGGCUUUCCCAGUCUAUCGCCAACCCCCGGAGAGUCUCAAGCUUGAAGCCGGAGACAAGAAGCCUGAAGCCAAGUAGCUCCAGGGAAGGCAUGUGGAUCCUAGACAGCGCCUUAUCUAUGAUU
rnacentral:sRNA from 1 species